GUCUGCAAGCAGACAACAGAGGGUGCAUGUGGACUUCCAACUUUCCACAGGCUUCCCUGAUACUGAGGCAGGGGAGCAAUGAAUGAGAUAUAUUGACAACUGAGAGAUAGCCAACAGCUGUUGAACCAGCAGAACCGGAGCCAGUGUCUGUUCAGCACUGGGGGUGGACCUCUGAUGUACGGGUGGAGAUGAACAGAAAGGGCCUGUAUAACAAGCUCAUGUCAUGGACUUGGGCAACAAAGGAGCAAACACGAGUGGUUAUGCCAGGAUGGUAUUCGAGAUGACAGCAAAGAACCUGCCGGAGGUGGAGCGUGAUGCGGUAGCUCAGCUGUUGGGACACGGUGCAACAUCUCGUUGAGGACAUUGCUGGAAAAACACAGUAAGCUAUACGAACAAAACUGUGACAGUUGCUUUACAUGUGAACGGCCCCAACGCUAAUAUGAUUUUGUGUUUCUCUCCCUGCCUCGUCCUCAAUCCCGAGGACACUGAGACCAACAGACCCAGUUCCGGCUGCCGUGAAGGUU